GCAUCGAUAGUUUAGUGGUAGAAUUGAAGCUUCCCACUCUAUAAUGUACUUUGCUUCAGGCGCGGGUUCGAUUCCCGCUCGAUGCA